GGGGAUGUCGCCUAGCUCACGUGGGCAGGCACUGCUGGCAUCCUGGCCGGCUGCGUUUGCACUGCUUCUCCAAAACCACAUUAUAGGUACUAAACAACAUUGUUUAGUACCUAUAAUGUGCUAGACUCCUGGCUGCUAGCGAGAUCAGAGGGUCAGAAGUUUUAAGGAUCAUUACACAUGGUACUCUAUGGAAAGGAUUGCCAACGCUAUGGAAGAAAACCCCAACAAAGAUAGAAAACAUCAUGAAAGUAUACAAGGACUGCACCAUUGAAAAUUGUUACAGAAAAAGUGGUGAAAGAAACCAAGCCCAAAACAAUAAAUUCCUGCUAAAGAAAA